rnacentral:lncRNA from 1 species
UUAUUAUGUGACUUUUUAACUUUGGGGGAUACUACUAUAUAUUGGGAAAUAAUUGUUGGAGAACAUGAAGGAGAACUUUAAUGUGAAGAAAGCAGACAAACAGGAAAAUUUGAAAGACAGAAAAGGAUCUCUCAGUAGCACAGACCUUACAAAGAUGUUGAGUGAUUUUGGGAUGAAAACAAGUUGGGUAUCUGUUUAGGGAUCAUGUGGGUCAUAGGGUUAGGAUAAGCAGUGGAUUUGGAAGGUAGGGACAAUUGAUUCCCUAACCACAACUACAAUUAGAGAGACUAAUUUUACAUUGCCCAAAGGCAAAAAUAAGUAAUCUUGUAAAUAUUUCUUCUCCUAUCUCCUCAUAGAGCAAGUGUCAUAUCAGGGAGGACAGAGAGGGAAUAUUCAAAAUGAAACAUCUUCAUUUUGGAAGGUAUGUAUAGUCAGAAUAGUUUGUUAUAUCUUUUUUUGUCAAAAUAAUAAAUUGUCACUUUUUUUAGAAAAAAUAAUUAUCAUUUAACCAUCUACAUAUGUUAUUAUCAUUUAACAUGUGUCAAAAAUACGUCAUAAAUUUCUUAAUUUUUCUCUAUCUCUUCAAUGAUUGAAGGAGAGAAGCCAAGUUGUUAUUACAGAAGAACGAGAGAAAUAGAUAAAUUGGACGUGAAACAAACAACAUAACAAAUAUGAAGUAUGGGUAAUCAAAGAUUAAUUAAUAUAGUAGCUUGUAAGUUGUAGACUCGUAGGUAAUAAUUUUAAAUUGGUGCUAAUAAUACAACAAUGUCCCACCGUGCACGUGUUUUGUGUGUAAUGUUGUGAUGAUGGGUCAUACUCACAGAAACUUUUUUGUCUAUAGUUUUUGGAUUUUGGACUGACUAAUUGUGGGUUUUAACAAUUAUGCAAAAUCAGAAAACGAACAUUCUGAUUAUUAUGUUAUCAUAAUUGAAGAUUCAGGAACCAUUUUUUGUUAGCUGCAUUUUCUGGCUCAAUAAUAAUAAAUUUACCGCUUUAUUUCGGUCUUAGGGAGUUUUCUCAUUUUGCAAUAAAAAUAAUUCUGAUCCAUUUUGAAUUAUGAAUACCCAACAAAUAUUCUAUUAAAAAAGACAAAUAUUCACACGAGUUGGCAAUCAUGGCAGAAGGGGUCCAGUCCAGGAUCCUAAACCUAUGCACGGCCCAAACAUUUACUUCAAUGAGAAGUACAUGGGCUGUUUAAGAUUUAACUUAUUUGAACGGAACUAAAUAAUAUUUGUAUCUGCAUUGGUAUUUGUGUAUCCGUAUAAAAAUAUUUGUAAAUAUGUCCAUAAAUAUUUUAAAGUUAUUUCAAUAAAUUCUAUUAGAGAAGAUAGGUCAUAUAUUAUUGGUGUAAAUCAAUUUUACAUUAAUAUUUAAUAAUUAUGUUUGGUUUUAUCUUUCUACUUUAUCAAUUUUACAUUAAUAUUUAAUAAUUAAGUUUGAUUUUAUUUUUCUACUUUAUGAUUGGUAACUGUCAUCUUAAAAACAAUCAAAUCAAUAAUUUUUAUUUGUUGUCAGUGUAAAAUAAUUUAUAUUGAUAGUGUAUGGCAAAAAAUAUAUAAAUAUUUCUAAUAUAUUAUUUGCAUAUAAAUAUGUCGAAUUUAAAAUUUUUAUGUUUAAGAUAAAUUAAAAGAAUUAAUAAGGAGGUUUGUUUGAAUAAAUAAAUAAAUACAUAUAGUAAUUUAAAAUAGCAUUAUAUUUGUUACAUAGAACCAAAGUUAAAUGGAAUUCUCGCCUCCAUUAAUUAUAUUCAAAGUGAAUAAUUUAAUCUUUUCGAACAUUCAAAAGAUAUUUUAAUUUUUCUAUUAUCUCAUUUUUCAAACGUUGAUUUAUAGUACUGGUGAAAAUGAUGUGUUAGAAUCUUUACAGAGUUAGAUGAACUGAAAAUAUAUCUAAAUAGAUAAUAUGUUGAUAAUUGAACAAUGUAUUAAUUAUACAAUCCGAGAAUGCUUCUUCGAGACUUCACUUAUCUUCUCUUCACUUAUCUUCUCGCUUCCCAUUAAUUUCUUCUAAACAAAAUGAUAGUUACAUGUUGCUGACCAGACCAUGGUUCUUGAAAGAAAUAAGAUAUAAUUUCUUAUCUUCAUUCAAAUACAUAUACAUGGUUUGUCUUUACUCUUUGAAUUCAUUGUCCUUUGUGGUUUCUUCUUAAUAGAUACAAUUAUCUGCCCACUCAAUAAAAUUUAUCAAAUAGCAAAUAAUAAAUUGUUCACUUGAAUAUAUAGGUUAUUAUCAAAAUAAUUAGAGGCUAGAAUUUUAUUUACUUUGAUUCUAACAAUCUUUCUUUUUUUAUGAGAGCAAAUAUAUGAAUUUGAUGAACAUUUUUUCCUUUGUUUCGACAUCAUAACAUUAAAGCACUUUUAAAUAUUCUUCCCCUAAAUUUAAGGUAGAAAAUUUUCCAAGCAUUUAUAGAAUAAACCAUAGUUGAAAAAAAAAAUAACAGGGGAAGGUUUAUAAAUAUAACUAGGGAAGGAGGGGGAGUAUUUAUUUAAACUAUCAUAAUUUAUUGUUCUAAUUCUCUAAUACCGUUAUCUCUUGAACUUUAGUUGCAGGACUCCUUCGUUGUUUUUUUAGUAUAAAGAUUAUUAUUUCAUUUUAUAUGAAAUUAAAGGUACACUAUAAGAAGGAGCAUCAUAAAAAUGAUGUAAGCUAGUAUGUAAUAUUAAUACUUGAAUGUGGGAAA